rnacentral:lncRNA from 1 species
UAUCUUAUAUCGAGGAAAAAGGAAAUUUUAAUCAAUGGAAAGUUCCCCUAAGUCAAACGUGUUUGCCCUUUGUUUUUCCUAAAGUUCUUACCUUAUUCCUAUCUUUGAUCUUAAUAAACUUCUCAUAGCAUCUGUGUUAUGUCUUAUGAAGAGAGUGAGCUAACGAUUAUGGAAAAAUCUAGGGGUGAGGGUGGUAGGAUACAUCCCAACCAUCCAUUCUUCUCAAUUGUAGUUUCAAUUUCUUCCAUUGAAAAUGUGAUUCCGACCACAUCCAUCAUAAGACAAGUUGGAAUCUUGUACCCAGAUGUUCUCCUAAUCCACUUUUACAAAAUCUUUUAUACUAGGUCAUAAGCUGCAUCUAAGGUGCCUGACUGUUAUAUGGAAGCCCUAUGGAGGGACUCUUACUCACUUUAGAUGGGAACCUCACACGAGGGAAAACCUCGCUUGAUGAGGAUACAUUUCUGUUGGGGACAAAAGUGUCGGUCGAUUUCUUUUUUAGAAAUUAUAGAAGACCUAGAUUUCUAAUUACUAUUAUCUUAUCCAUCAAUUCAUCUGAUACCUUCACGUGAUAUAGAAAUAGGAGUCCCUUCCCCUCUGAGAGUUUUAAUAGGCCACGAGUUCCUAAGUCCAACCUAUUUUAGAUAUUCGAUGGUAGUGUAUUUUUUUAUUGUUACUUUAGUCUACUUUGUAUGUUUUG